AUCAGUGGCGAACGGGUGAGUAACACGUGGGCAACCUGCCCCUGACUCUGGAAUAACCUCGGGAAACCGAGGCUAAUACCGGAUACGACCUCGAGCGGCAUCGCUCGAGGUGGAAAGUUUUUCGGUCAGGGAUGGGCCCGCGGCCUAUCAGCUUGUUGGUGGGGUAAUGGCCUACCAAGGCGACUACGGGUAGCCGGCCUGAGAGGGCGACCGGCCACACUGGGACUGAGAUACGGCCCAG
rnacentral:rRNA from 1 species